GACGAACGCUGGCGGCGUGCCUAAUACAUGCAAGUCGAGCGGACGAAUCGAAAGCUUGCUUUUGAUUCGUUAGCGGCGGACGGGUGAGUAACACGUGGGCAACCUGCCCUGUAGACGGGGAUAACACCGAGAAAUCGGUGCUAAUACCGGAUAACACGAAAUGUCGCAUGACGUUUCGUUGAAAGACGGCGCAAGCUGUCGCUACAGGAUGGGCUCGCGGCGCAUUAGCUAGUUGGUGAGGUAACGGCUCACCAAGGCGACGAUGCGUAGCCGACCUGAGAGGGUGAUCGGCCACACUGGGACUGAGACACGGCCCAGACUCCUACGGGAGGCAGCAGUAGGGAAUCUUCCGCAAUAGACGAAAGUCUGACGGAGCAACGCCGCGUGAGCGAAGAAGGCCUUCGGGUCGUAAAGCUCUGUUGUUAGGGAAGAACAAGUAACGCAGUAACUGGCGUUACCGUGACGGUACCUAACGAGAAAGCCACGGCUAACUACGUG
rnacentral:rRNA from 1 species